rnacentral:misc_RNA from 1 species
AGAAAGAAAAUGCGCGGCAGCCAGAAGUUCGUGCCCCCGACACGCACAAACACGCGGACAGUUCAACCAGACGCCGGUUCCUCGGGGACGCCUAAAUGUCGGCGUCUGUACUCAGACCCGGCGGACGCCAUCUUCAGUAGUACACCUGAACUCCUCAAGACCCCAAAACCGCCCACCCCAAGGAACAACCACCAGACCCAGGAAACGGGACUACCCAUGGGCAAACCGUUUGUGAGAAGACUUACAACGAAAUCAGAAAGCGAAGCAGACGACAGAAAGAGCGGUGACGUCACAGAGUUCAAACCUGACUCAAAUGUCACCUUCAUUGUUGGCCCCAAAAUCUUUGAAAAGCAUAGAACGGCAAACAGCUAAUGUUGACCACGAAUCAAACCAGCUGAUGACUUCCGAAGCGAUCUCUGCCGUACAGAAUCACCUGGUCCAGGUACCGGACACCGCACCCUACGACUGUGCCAGCAUAUUCAACUUCACACCGAGUCCUCCCCCAAAACGCAGGGCUACCAGCGCCUCAGAGAAGAGGAAGAUUUGUCUGGACGUCCCGCUGACGGUCUACAAGAUGAAGAACCAGCUACAGGUCCUGAGGGAGCGGCGUCACCGUCUGGCCCUAAAAUGCCAGAAGCGCGCAGACUUGGGGGUCCGCGGGGAAGAGUAAAGAACGAAAGGGGCGACGACUCCUACAAGGCGGCGAGGCUUGGACAGGGGCGACAACUCCUACAAGGCGGCGAGGCUUGGACAGACCGCUGUGUUCGUUAUGUUGAUGUUUAAACAGCUCUCUAAAUAUGGCCAAUGAUUUGUUGAGAGGAAACUUGUACUCAUUCAUGCCCUACAACCAGGAAAUAAAAUUAACGAGAAAUGGAGACACAAUUUCCUAGAAACGCUUCGGUCGAUGGGGAAAAUCCUGGAUGAACCGAAUGUAGGAAUACAAACUCUUAGACUGAUGGAAUCAAUUAAACGUAACAAGAUACGGAGAGGAGAAUGUAUACUGAUUGCAUCAUGUCUAAAAGAACUACAUUCUCUAAUUGUAAAAUAUGUUCUAAUAUUAAUGAAAAGUUACAGUUUAUUUGAAGUAUGACAAAAGAUUAUUAGUGUGUGGUAUACUGCGAUUUGCGAAAGAUACGGAGAAGAAAAAAAUUAAUAGGAUUAGAUUUAAUGGGACAGCAGUCUGAGAGUAAAAUUUCUAAAGAUUUGAGGCAUUAUUUUCCUCUUAUAAUAAAACAUAUG